CGUAGGUGGCAAGCGUUGUCCGGAAUUAUUGGGCGUAAAGCGCGCGCAGGCGGCUCCUUAAGUCUGAUGUGAAAGCCCCCGGCUCAACCGGGGAAGGUCAUUGGAAACUGGGGAACUUGAGUGCAGAAGAGAAGAGCGGAAUUCCACGUGUAGCGGUGAAAUGCGUAGAGAUGUGGAGGAACACCAGUGGCGAAGGCAGCUCUUUGGUCUGUAACUGACGCUGAGGCGCGAAAGCGUGGGGAGCAAACAGGAUUAGAUACCCUGGUAGUCCACGCCGUAAACGAUGAGUGCUAAGUGUUAGAGGGUUUCCGCCCUUUAGUGCUGCAGCUAACGCAUUAAGCACUCCGCCUGGGGAGUACGGCCGCAAGGCUG
rnacentral:rRNA from 1 species